rnacentral:rRNA from 1 species
ACUCCUACGGGAGGCAGCAGUGGGGAAUAUUGCACAAUGGGCGGAAGCCUGAUGCAGCAACGCCGCGUGAGGGAUGACGGCCUUCGGGUUGUAAACCUCUUUUAGCAAGGAAGAAGCGAAAGUGACGGUACUUGCAGAAAAAGCGCCGGCUAACUACGUGCCAGCAGCCGCGGUAAUACGUAGGGCGCAAGCGUUAUCCGGAA